CACUUCACAUAACACCCUAUGUACUUGCUGAAUGGCAUCUAGAAUGGCCUCUACACUAAUAUUAGUCUGUUUCUGUCUUAUUCCGAGGUUACCGUAGCCACCAGAUCCAGUCUGUAUCCAGAUCAGAGGGUCACUGCAGUCACCCGGAUCCAGUACGUAUCCAGACCAUAUGGUGGAUCAGCACCUAGAAAGGACCUCUACAUCCCUGAAAGACAGCGGAGACCAGGACAACUAGAGCCCCAGAUACAGAUCCCCUGUAAAGACCUUGUCUCAGAGGACCACCAGGACAAGACCACAGGAAACAGAUAAUUAUUCUGCACAAUCUGACUUUGCUGCAGCCUGGAAUUGAACUACUGGUUUCGUCUGGUCAGAAGAGAACUGGCCCCCCAACUGAGCCUGGUUUCUCCCAAGGUUUUUUUCUCCAUUCUGUCACCGAUGGAGUUUCGGUUCCUUGCCGCUGUCGCCUCUGGCUUGCUUAGUUGGGGUCACUUCAUCUACAGCGAUAUCAUUGACUUGAUUGCAAAUAAAAACAGACACUAUUUCAACUGAACAGAGAUGACAUAACUGAAUUCAAUGAUGAACUGCCUUUAACUAUAAUUUUGCAUUAUUGAGACACUGUUUUCCUAAUGAAUGUUGUUCAGUGCUUUGACGCAAUGUAUUUUGUUUAAAGCACUAUAUAAAUAAAGGUGAUUGAUUGA